CCUACGGGUGGCAGCAGUCGAGAAUCAUUCACAAUGGGGGAAACCCUGAUGGUGCGACGCCGCGUGGGGGAAUGAAGGUCUUCGGAUUGUAAACCCCUGUCAUGUGGGAGCAAAUUAAAAAGAUAGUACCACAAGAGGAAGAGACGGCUAACUCUGUGCCAGCAGCCGCGGUAAUACAGAGGGCUCAAGCGUUGUUCGGAAUCACUGGGCGUAAAGCGUGCGUAGGCUGUUGCGUAAGUCGUGUGUGAAAGGCGCGGGCUCAACCCGCGGACGGCACAUGAUACUGCGAGACUAGAGUGAUGGAGGGGGAACCGGAAUUCUCGGUGUAGCAGUGAAAUGCGUAGAUAUCGAGAGGAACACUCGUGGCGAAGGCGGGUUCCUGGACAUUAACUGACGCUGAGGCACGAAGGCCAGGGGAGCGAAAGGGAUUAGAUACCCGAGUAGUC
rnacentral:rRNA from 1 species